CACUCAUCUCAACUGUCUGCUCUAAGGAAGCUUUUUAUUCCUAGAUUGAAGCAGAAAAGAGCACACGUGGAAGGUACUAAGCUUGAUCUUUUGGCCUGGUUAGUGGCUCUGAGCAAGGCUGCGUGUCCUCUGCUUCUGCUGAAGCUACAAGGCAAUGGUCAGGUGAAAGCAGAAACUCAAAGCAAGCACUCUGGGAGCCAAACAGGAGGCUGGCAUGUCCCCCCCGCCACAUGGCACGCAUUUCCCCAGAAGUACCCCUGCCAAGGCCAUGCAUAUCUCUAUAAUUUGGUGCGUUCGGCUCCCCGUCCACAUCCCAUUUGUCUUUACCUCUAGCAUGCGAGUACUGUGAUCUGUUAUUUUCAGGGACUGUCUUUCAGAUGUGAACAUCUCAGACCUGUGACUUGAUCCUUAGUAUUAUACAGCAACUGUUUUUUUCCAUUUAUUGGCAGUGUUUAACUACUAUUUUUAGAGGGAAUUAAAAAAUGAUAAAGCACAUAAAAGCUCUUUUGGUAAUUUAAUCUUGUAUUUUUCAUUAGGCCAUGAGCUGGUUGUAGUGAGAAUGGAAGCAUAGAAGGCGGUUAAUGUAUGAAGUGCCUUCAGCUAUUGCAGAGCUAAGUCAGCUCUUCCACGUAGACAGUGGGAGGGUUGCAUUUAAAACUCAUGAAGACAACCCUGAAAAGACUAGAUUAGUUCUGAUGUGUUGUUCCUGCCUUUAUCCCUUACACAAGCAGCAGAUGGUUCAUCAUGUUACAUUUUAUUGACCUACAGGAAGUGAUAGAGGAGGUGUUUCUUGUCACUCCUACUUGCUACAGAACCUAUAAAAGUUGCUUUUAGCUGUUAACUAGCGACUUUAAAUUGGGAAUCUGUCUUAUUUAAUGAGGAGAGGAAAAGAGGCAAAAAUCAAUGGGAGUAAGGUUUGUAAAUAUGUUAUCUGAAUCCCCUGGGCUUAUUAGGUAGGGUAGUCUUGCAGAUAUCAAGAGCCAAAUGAAAAUCCUUGAGGUAAUUUCAUGCCGUGUUGUUCCAUACUUGUAAUUCUUUGGCUGCGCAGAUGAUUUUGUAUCUGACCAGACUAAGUAAGUUGGGUGAGUCACCCAUUAAGAGGAUUAAAUGCUGCUGGCUAGAAGAAAGCAGAGACCAGGCUUUCAUGUGUGGUGUGUGGUUGAACUAGUGUGAUAAAAGAAAUGCAAGAAACAAUCUAACUUUCAUUUCUGACAUCCUUAGAUAAGAGAAAAAUUUGUAGAUGC